rnacentral:rRNA from 1 species
ACUCCUACGGGAGGCAGCAGUGGGGAAUAUUGCACAAUGGGCGCAAGCCUGAUGCAGCCAUGCCGCGUGUAUGAAGAAGGCCUUCGGGUUGUAAAGUACUUUCAGCAGUGAGGAAGGCGGGUACGUUAAUACGCGUAUUCGUUUGACGUUAGCUGCAGAAGAAAGCACCGGCUAACUCCGUGCCAGCAGCCGCGGUAAUACGGAGGGUGCGAGCGUUAAUCGGAAUUACUGGGCGUAAAGCGCAUGCAGGUGGUUUGUUAAGUCAGAUGUGAAAGCCCGGGGCUCAACCUCGGAAUUGCAUUUGAAACUGGCAGACUAGAGUACUGUAGAGGGGGGUAGAAUUUCAGGUGUAGCGGUGAAAAUGCGUAGAGAUCUGAAGGAAUACCGGUGGCGAAGGCGGCCCCCUGG